rnacentral:piRNA from 1 species
UAAGAAGUAGGAUGCCAUGAUCCGCUUAGU